rnacentral:rRNA from 1 species
GUGCCAGCAGCCGCGGUAAUACGUAGGUGGCAAGCGUUGUCCGGAAUUAUUGGGCGUAAAGCGCGCGCAGGCGGUCCUUUAAGUCUGAUGUGAAAGCCCACGGCUCAACCGUGGAGGGUCAUUGGAAACUGGAGGACUUGAGUGCAGAAGAGGAAAGCGGAAUUCCACGUGUAGCGGUGAAAUGCGUAGAGAUGUGGAGGAACACCAGUGGCGAAGGCGGCUUUCUGGUCUGUAACUGACGCUGAGGCGCGAAAGCGUGGGGAGCAAACAGGAUUAGAUACCCUGGUAGUCC